UACAGAGGUCCCAAGCGUUGUUCGGAUUCAUUGGGCGUAAAGGGUGCGUAGGCGGCGAGGUAAGUUGGAUGUGAAAUCCCGGGGCUCAACCCCGGAACUGCAUUCGAUACUGCCUUGCUAGAGUUCUGGAGAGGAGAUUGGAAUUCACGGUGUAGCAGUGAAAUGCGUAGAUAUCGUGAGGAAGACCAGUGGCGAAGGCGAAUCUCUGGACAGAUACUGACGCUGAGGCACGAAGGCCAGGGGAGCAAACGGG
rnacentral:rRNA from 1 species